GACGAACGCUGGCGGCGUGCUUAACACAUGCAAGUCGAACGGAAAGGCCCUGCUUGCAUGGUACUCGAGUGGCGAACGGGUGAGUAACACGUGGGUGAUCUGCCCUGCACUUCGGGAUAAGCCUUGGAAACUGGGUCUAAUACCGGAUAGGAGCCAUUUUUAGUCUGAUGGUUGGAAAGUUUUUUCGGUGUAGGAUGAGCUCGCGGCCUAUCAGCUUGUUGGUGGGGUAAUGGCCUACCAAGGCGGCGACGGGUAGCCGGCCUGAGAGGGUGGACGGCCAAAAUGGGACUGAGAUACGGGCCAGAAUCCGACGGGAGGCAGCAGUGGGGAAUAUUGCCCAAUGGGCGCAAGCCUGAUGCAGCGACGCCGCGUGGGGGAUGACGGGCUUCGGGUUGUAAACUCCUUUCGCUAGGGACGAAGCUUUUUGUGACGGUAACUAGAUAAGAAGCACCGGCUAACUACGUG
rnacentral:rRNA from 1 species